rnacentral:lncRNA from 10 species
CACCCAGGCUAUAGUGCAAUGGCGUGAUCUCAGCUCACUGCAACCUCCACCUCCCUGAUUCAAGUGAUUCUCCUGCCUCAGCCUUCUGAGUAGCUGGGAUUAUAGGCGCGCGCCACCACGCCCAGCUAAUUUUUGUAUUUUAAUAGAGACGGGGUUUCACCAUAUUGGCCAGGCUGGUCUCCGAGCUCCUGACCUCAGGUGAUCCGCCUGCUUUGGCCUCUCAAAGUGCUGGGAUUAUAGGCGUGAGCCACCGCGUCCGGCCCAGGGACACGAUUAUUAAAGGGCAGAGAGCCAGACUGGGGAGGCAGGUGUGCUCCAUUCCCAAGCCCAUGCUUGCCCUGGCUCUGCCGGGAAGACAGUAGGUGCUUUGCUUCCUGAGAAAGGUCAGGAAGAGGCGUGGCUCCUCCAGCUGUACAGACGACCAGGCCAGAUCCACAUGGCCCCGUUUGGUGCUUGGAUGUCUGGUAAACUGCCUGCCAAGGAGGAACGCAGGUGAGACUAAAGAGCUACAAAGUGAGUGUUCUGGACACUGUGAGAAUCUACAACUGGAGAAGCCAACAUUGCCUGUGGACUGAGAGCCACAUCCCAGAAAAUGUCCAGUGGUCUCAGGCAAAGGCCCAGGCAAUGGAAGCUUCCCAUGGGGCCCUCUACCUCUUCACUGCUCCAGGUGGGCCCAGGCUCAUCAGACCACAGGCCCCCCAUCGCCUUCUCAGGGGCUCCCCCAUGCUAGCCGGGAAAUCAAGGUCAACACAGGCUCCACACUCCCCUGAGUCCUGCACCUACCCCAGGCUUGCUGAGGGCCUCCAGAGGACAGCUUCUGUCCCUCCUACCACAGGUUGGAUCUACAGCCUGACCUGGCCAUUCCUCCAGUGUUUGGAGAAUCAUUGCCUAGCCUUCAUUCAGGAGCCAGAUUGCCUGGGCUAGAAUCCCAGCUCCACCAUUCACCAGCUGUGUAAACUCCCUGGGCCUCAGUUUUCUCACCUGUAAAAUGGGAUUCAUUGGACUGUUAUGGAUUAAAUGAGUUGACGUUUAUAAAGAACUUAGAAGAACACCUUAUUUAUUUGUUAUGUAUAAAAUGAAAUUCCAUCCUGCCUAAUAAAUAUCGGGAACAGCUCUGGGUGGAGAGGUGAUGUGCCAGGGAGGGGUCAUCUCAAGUCUAAGAGAUAGAGGGUGACCCAUCUGGUAGCAGACAGCAGCGGAAGCUGCUUGCCUGGCCUCUCUGGGUUUGAGGGCAGGGAUGUCUCUUCUAGCUUGAACACAGCCUACACUCCAGUUCUGUGACUUCAGGUGGGUUUGGCAUCAAAAGCCUUCAGGGCUCCUCUUAUGUGAUCAUGAGUUUCCUGUUGAGAUCCUUCUGGCUGGAACAAGCUUCUUGAUCCCCCAGAAGUGCCCAGUACUUUUGUCACCUGUGUCUGUGCCUUUGCUUGGGGAUGCUGGGACUACAGAGCAAUAGAUUUUCUCUCUGUCUCACCUUCUGUUUUCUUCUUUGUUCUUCUCCAUCUCAAAAAGGAAGGAGCAAAAUGCCUCUGCUCAGGGGUAGAUUUUUCUGUCCAAGCUGAAUCAGGUUACCUCCCAAUUAUUUGUUAAUGGGAAACAGCCAGUCCUUCCAUCUGGGGGACACACAAUUGUGUAAUAUAUGCCAUCCCAGUUGAUCCUCAAUAACCUGUACAGCAGGCAGAGCUUGGCCUAUGCCACAGAUGCAGAAACUGAGGCUCAAAGGGCCAAGAGAACUUGUGCUCGGCCAGAAAACCUGUUGUAAAGAAUCACCAUCAAUUCUAUGACCUGUUACAUGUGCACAGUCUUUGUAAUUUACAAAGCAUCUUCACAGCCAGUUUCCUAAGGGAGCAUCACAAAACCCCUGCAGAGUAAAACAGGGCAGCUAUUAUUAUUCGUGAUUUACAGAUGGGAAAACAAGGGCUUGGAAGAUCAGAGAUAUUCACGUUGUUCCAUGGCUAACGUUGUUCCAUGGUUCAGUUAAAUUCAGCAAGCAUUUAUUGAGCACCUACUGUAUGUCAGCCCCUGUCCUAGGUCCUGGGGAACUAAAGAGAAUGAGAAAUGGCCCCCCGCUCUUGAGGAGCUAAUUUUUGAGACAAUGUGAUAGAUGCCUUCAGGAUGGGUGAUCACAGGGCUCUGAGGCAGCUCACAGAGAAGCAGGUAUUAGGGAGGCUUCUUGGAAAAGCUGACAUCUGAGCUGAGUCUUAAAGGAUGAAUAGGAAUUGACCAGGUAAGUAAAGGUGAGACAGACAUUUGGAGCUAAGAGACAGGGCUAGGGCUAAGCACAGAGUACGGGUCCAGGUCGUGUGUGCAAAAGCCACAGGUAGUUGGUUCUUACAGAAUAGACACUUUGAAGCCACAUCUCCUGCUACGGCUUGAUCCACUGUAACAAGCAGGAGAAUGACCUCUAUGUAUGUGCAUGCACGUGUGUGUGUGUGUGUGUGAGAGAGAGAGAGAGAGAGAGAGAAAGAGAGAGUAUGUGUGUGUGUGCGCGCGCGCGUGUGUGUGUGUGCAGGCAGGCAGUGGUGGCAGCAUCAUACAUUUAG